UAAUUUAAACUGAAAAAAUAAUUUAUGUUCAGUUGAUACUUUUUUUUCUAUCUCUGUUCUAUGGUUUUCCCCUUUACAUUUGAUCUAUGUCCACAACUUUAAUUGACGAACCAUAGAUAUAAUUAUUAUAAGCAUCUAUGAAUAUUAUUCUUGUGUGACUCAUGCAUUAUACUUUUAUUCUUGAAACAGAUGUCACACCACAUCGCCAUUUUAAAUAUUGGAGACAGAUGAGAGAGGAGAAUGAGGCUCAUUUUGAUGCAUUCAUCUCCUAUGAUGUUUUAACUUUUCAUCGUGGAGACUUAUAGAUUGGCUAACAA